rnacentral:rRNA from 1 species
UACGUAGGUGGCAAGCGUUAAUCGGAAUUACUGGGCGUAAAGCGCACGCAGGAGGUUGAUUGAGUCAGAUGUGAAAUCCCCGGGCUUAACCCGGGAAUUGCAUCUGAUACUGGUCAGCUAGAGUCUUGUAGAGGGGGGUAGAAUUCCAUGUGUAGCGGUGAAAUGCGUAGAGAUGUGGAGGAAUACCAGUGGCGAAGGCGACUUGCUGGAAUCUAACUGACGCUGAGGUACGAAAGCGUGGGGAGCAAACAGG